AUGAAGCUCCUAUGUUGGAACAUUAGGGGCUUCGGCCUCUCUGGCCAGCGGCGGCAGCUCAUCGAAUAUUUGCGACAGGAAGAGAUUGACAUUGUGGGACUUCAGGAGACGAUUCUUCAGGACUUUAGUAUGCAUGAUCUCCAGGGGCUAUCCCGCCAC
rnacentral:rRNA from 1 species